GAAGUUUUUAAUUGGGGAAAAAUAGAAAUAUGCUUAAAUAAUUAUUGCUGAGUCUGUGUAGAUUUAACACCCACCUAGUUAAUGGCUUUGCCUGCAGUGUCAGUUGAGGUUGAUGGGAGAAUAAGGUGAUCAAACGCCUGGGACAUUUAGAUGGAGUUAAAAGUUAUGACUUUCUUUGUAGGAAAGAGCUAGCAACUCACUUUUCCAAAGAAUCUUCUCUGUACUGGUUGCUUGA
rnacentral:lncRNA from 1 species